GCCUCUGUAGCGCAAUGGUAGCGCGUAGCUUUCCUACGGACUCGAACCAUCGAAUGAUUACGUAAUAGGCUAAGGUUGCGGGUUCGAGUCCCGUCUGAGGUU